rnacentral:rRNA from 1 species
CCAAACUCCUACGGGAGGCAGCAGUAGGGAAUCUUCGGCAAUGGACGAAAGUMUGACCGAGCAACRCCGCGUGAGUGAAGAAGGUUUUCGGAUCGUAAAACUCUGUWGUUAGAGAAGAACAAGGAUGAGAGUAACUGUUCAUCCCUUGACGGUAUCUAWCCAGAAAGCCACGGCUAAMUACGUGCCAGCAGCCGCGGUAAUAMGUAGGUGGCAAGMGUUGUCCGGAUUUAUUGGGSGUAAAGCGAGCGCAGGCGGUUUCUUAAGUCUGAUGUGAAAGCCCCCGGCUCAACCGGGGAGGGUCAUUGGAAACUGGGAGACUUGAGUGCAGAAGAGGAGAGUGGAAUUCCAUGUGUAGCGGUGAAAWGCGUAGAUAUAUGGAGGAACACCAGUGGCGAAGGCGGCUCUCUGGUCUGUAACUGACGCUGAGGCUCGAA